AUUGAACGCUGGCGGCAUGCCUUACACAUGCAAGUCGAACGGUAACAGGUUAAGCUGGCGAGUGGCGACCGGGUGAGUAAUGUAUCGGAACGUGCCCAGUCGUGGGGGAUAACUGCUCGAAAGAGCAGCUAAUACCGCAUACGACCUGAGGGGGAAAGCGGGGGAUCGCAAGACCUCGCGCGAUUGGAGCGGCCGAUAUCAGAUUAGGUAGUUGGUGAGGUAAAGGCUCACCAAGCCGACGAUCUGUAGCUGGUCUGAGAGGACGACCAGCCACACUGGGACUGAGACACGGCCCAGACUCCUACGGGAGGCAGCAGUGGGGAAUUUUGGACAAUGGGCGCAAGCCUGAUCCAGCCAUGCCGCGUGCGGGAAGAAGGCCUUCGGGUUGUAAACCGCUUUUGUCAGGGAAGAAAAGGUUCUGGCUAAUACCUGGGACUCAUGACGGUACCUGAAGAAUAAGCACCGGCUAACUACG
rnacentral:rRNA from 1 species